CAAGUUAAAGCUAAUUUAAGCGUUUUAUUUACACUAAGAAGUGUGGUUGUUGAUUACAACUUAAUUUGA
rnacentral:tRNA from 1 species